rnacentral:rRNA from 1 species
AUUGAACGCUGGCGGCAGGCCUAACACAUGCAAGUCGAACGGUAACAGUAAGAAGCUUGCUUCUUUGCUGACGAGUGGCGGACGGGUGAGUAAUGUCUGGGAAACUGCCUGAUGGAGGGGGAUGACUACUGGAAACGGUAGCUAAUACCGCAUAACGUCGCAAGACCAAAGAGGGGGACCUUCGGGCCUCUUGCCAUCGGAUGUGCCCAGAUGGGAUUAGCUAGUAGGUGGGGUAACGGCUCACCUAGGCGACGAUCCCUAGCUGGUCUGAGAGGAUGACCAGCCACACUGGAACUGAGACACGGUCCAGACUCCUACGGGAGGCAGCAGUGGGGAAUAUUGCACAAUGGGCGCAAGCCUGAUGCAGCCAUGCCGCGUGUAUGAAGAAGGCCUUCGGGUUGUAAAGUACUUUCAGCGGGGAGGAAGGGAGUAAAGUUAAUACCUUUACUCAUUGACGUUACCCGCAGAAGAAGCACCGGCUAACUCCGUG